UUUUUGUAGAGAUGGGGUCUGCCUAUGUGGCCCAGAACAUCCCCCACUUCCCUGACCAGAUACAUCCAGAGGGGAGGCAAGUGGAGACUGGCUGUCUGUAGGGAGUGGAGAAAUGGCAGGUCCAGCUUGGGCUGGUGUCCUCUUCCUCAGAAAGUGCUGUGGGUGAACCCAGAGUCUCAGGGAGCAGAAGCCCCCCUCGCUGGCUUUCUUCACGCGGGGUCCUCGGCAAGCUGCUCUGCACUGCGGAGAACGUGCGCCUUGUCCUCAGAAGACGAGGAAGAGCAGGGCCUCAUGCCGGGGCAGUACGAUGUUCUCCACAGUGCGCUCCAUGGCGCGCACCUGCUCCGGGGAGGCUGUCAGGAACGCCAGGGGCCCGAUGCGCUGCUCCGCACAGGAGUGGCAGAGGUAGCCCCCCUUGUUUUCCUUCCUGUUGCU
rnacentral:lncRNA from 1 species